rnacentral:rRNA from 1 species
AUAGCAUAUCAAUAAGCGGAGGAAAAGAAACUAACAAGGAUUCCCAUAGUAACUGCGAGUGAAGCGGGAAAAGCUCAAAUUUAAAAUCUGGCGGUCUUUGGCCCGUCCGAGUUGUAGUCUGGAGAAGUGCUUUCCGCGCUGGACCGUGUAUAAGUCUCUUGGAACAGAGCGUCAUAGAGGGUGAGAAUCCCGUCUUUGACACGGACUACCAGUGCUUUGUGAUGCGCUCUCAAAGAGUCGAGUUGUUUGGGAAUGCAGCUCAAAAUGGGUGGUAAAUUCCAUCUAAAGCUAAAUAUUGGCGAGAGACCGAUAGCGAACAAGUACCGUGAGGGAAAGAUGAAAAGCACUUUGGAAAGAGAGUUAAACAGUACGUGAAAUUGCUGAAAGGGAAACGCUUGAAGUCAGUCGCGUUGGCCGGAACUCAGCCUUGCUUUUGCUUGGUGCACUUUCCGGUUAACGGGCCAGCAUCGAUUUUGACCGUCGGAUAAGGGUCAGGGAAAUGUGGCACCUUUUGGUGUGUUAUAGUCUCUGGUCGCAUACGUCGGUUGGGAUCGAGGAUCGCAGCGCGCCGCAAGGCAGGGGUUCGCCCACUUUCGCGCUUAGGAUGCUGGCAUAAUGGCUUUAAACGACCCGUCUUGAAACACGGACCAAGGAGUCUAACAAACCUGCGAGUGUUUGGGUGGUAAACCCGAGCGCGUAAUGAAAGUGAAAGUUGAGACCUCUGUCGUGGAGGGCAUCGACGCCCGGACCUGACGUUCUCUGACGGAUCCGCGGUAGAGCAUGUUUGUUGGGACCCGAAAGAUGGUGAACUAUGCCUGAAUAGGGUGAAGCCAGAGGAAACUCUGGUGGAGGCUCGUAGCGAUUCUGACGUGCAAAUCGAUCGUCAAAUUUGGGUAUAGGGGCGAAAGACUAAUCGAACCAUCUAGUAGCUGGUUCUGCGUCU